AUUGAACGCUGGCGGCAUGCCUUAACACAUGCAAGUCGAACGGCAGCACGGGAGCAAUCCUGGUGGCGAGUGGCGAACGGGUGAGUAAUAUAUCGGAACGUGCCCAGUGAUGGGGGAUAGCCCGGCGAAAGCCGGAUUAAUACCGCAUACGACCUACGGGUGAAAGCAGGGGAUCGCAAGACCUUGCGUCAUUGGAGCGGCCGAUAUCAGAUUAGCUUGGGGUGGGUAAAAGCCUACCAAGGCGACGAUCUGUAGCUGGUCUGAGAGGACGACCAGCCACACUGGGACUGAGACACGGCCCAGACUCCUACGGAGGCAGCAGUGGGGAUUUUGGACAAUGGCGCAAGCCUGAU
rnacentral:rRNA from 1 species